UACGUAGGGUGCGAGCGUUAAUCGGAAUUACUGGGCGUAAAGCGUGCGCAGGCGGUGGCUCAAGCCAGGCGUGAAAUCCCCGGGCUUAACCCGGGAAUGGCGUUUGGGACUGGGUCGCUAGAGUGUGGCAGAGGGAGGUGGAAUUCCACGUGUAGCAGUGAAAUGCGUAGAGAUGUGGAGGAACACCGAUGGCGAAGGCAGCCUCCUGGGCCAGCACUGACGCUCAUGCACGAAAGCGUGGGGAGCAAACAGG
rnacentral:rRNA from 1 species